UUGGAGGGCAAGUCUGGUGCCGGCAGCCGCGGUAAUUCCAGCUCCAAUAGCGUAUAUUAAAGUUGUUGCAGUUAAAAAGCUCGUAGUUGAAUUUCGGGGUUCUACCGUUGGUCGGGCUUUGUCUGUACUGGUGUGUAGAAUUUCUACCUUCUGGGGGACCAUCAUGCUAUUAAUUUAGCGUGGUGGGAAACCAGGACCUUUACCUUGAAAAAAUUAGUGUGUUCAAAGCAGGCUUAUGUCUGAAUACAUUAGCGUGGAAUAAUAGAAUAGGACGGUGGUCCUGUUUUGUUGGUUUCUGAAUCACCGUAAUGAUUAAUAGGGAUAGUUGGGGGCAUUAGUAUUCAAUUGUCAGAGGUGAAAUUCUUGGAUUUAUUGAAGACUAACUUCUGCGAAAGCAUUUGCCAAGGAUGUUUUCAUUAAUCAAGAACGAAAGUUAGGGGAUCGAAGACGAUCAGAUACCGUCGUAGUCUUAACCAUAAACUAUGCCGACUAGGGAUCGGACGAUGUUAAUUUUUCUUGACUCGUUCGGCGCCUUACGGGAAAC
rnacentral:rRNA from 1 species